rnacentral:rRNA from 1 species
UAAUACAGGAUAUGACUCAUCACCGCAUGGUGUGUCGGGUGGAAAGAUUUAUUGGUUUUGGAUGGACUCGCGGCCUAUCAGCUUGUUGGUGAGGUAAUGGCUUACCAAGGCGACGACGGGUAGCCGGCCUGAGAGGGUGACCGGCCACACUGGGACUGAGACACGGCCCACACUCCUACGGGAGGCAGCAGUGGGGAAUAUUGCACAAUGGGCGCAAGCCUGAUGCAGCGACGCCGCGUGAGGGAUGAAGGCCUUCGGGUUGUAAACCUCUUUCAGUAGGGAAGAAGCCUUUUGGGGUGACGGUACCUGCAGAAGAAGCGCCGGCUAACUACGUGCCAGCAGCCGCGGUAAUACGUAGGGCGCAAGCGUUAUCCGGAAUUAUUGGGCGUAAAGAGCUCGUAGGCGGUUUGUCGCGUCUGCCGUGAAAGUCCGGGGCUUAACCCCGGAUCUGCGGUGGGUACGGGCAGACUAGAGUGAUGUAGGGGAGACUGGAAUUCCUGGUGUAGCGGUGAAAUGCGCAGAUAUCAGGAGGAACACCGAUGGCGAAGGCAGGUCUCUGGGCAUUAACUGACGCUGAGGAGCGAAAGCAUGGGGAGCGAACAGGAUUAGAUACCCUGGUAGUCCAUGCCGUAAACGUUGGGCACUAGGUGUGGGGGACAUUCCACGUUUUCCGCGCCGUAGCUAACGCAUUAAGUGCCCCGCCUGGGGAGUACGGCCGCAAGGCUUAAACUCAAAGGAAUUGACGGGGGCCCGCACAAGCGGCGGAGCAUGCGGAUUAAU